UGGGGAAUAUUGGACAAUGGGCGCAAGCCUGAUCCAGCCAUGCCGCGUGUGUGAAGAAGGCCUUCGGGUUGUAAAGCACUUUUGUCCGGAAAGAAAGCGAAUCGGCGAAUACCCGGUUUGGAUGACGGUACCGGAAGAAUAAGCACCGGCUAACUUCGUGCCAGCAGCCGCGGUAAUACGAAGGGUGCAAGCGUUACUCGGAAUUACUGGGCGUAAAGCGUACGUAGGCGGAUGCGCAAGUUGGGGGUGAAAUCCCGGGGCUUAACCUCGGAAUUGCCCUCAAAACUGCACGUCUUGAGACCGAGAGAGGUAAGGGGAAUUCCUAGUGUAGAGGUGAAAUUCGUAGAUAUUAGGAAGAACACCAGUGGCGAAGGCGCCUUACUGGCUCGGUACUGACGCUGAGGUACGAAAGCGUGGGGAGCAAACA
rnacentral:rRNA from 1 species